AGAUGUCCAAAUAGUUUGCAUUUCUUUUUUCCAUUAGGCUGCUAUUACAUUGGUUAAUUAAAUGUGCAAAGACAUGCCCAAUUUCCAGUUUACAAACUGUGUGAGCAGAUUUAUCAGAUCAUCUAGCAAGCGGAAAAGGUGGGGUAAAUAAAUGACUCUAAAUGUUCGCUUGGUUGUUGCACUGUCAUGUCUUUCUUGUGCACUUUUUCCUCUUAAAAAAGACCCAACGCUAAAGGAAAACAUGAGACUUCUGUCAGCUGCUGGUUACUUAGUGUUUCUUUCCUCCUUGUUCACACAUGGAGCAUUUGAAAGUGCGAAUCAGUAUGAAUCAGUCAAAGAUUCUCACUCACAUGCUUCUCUAGAAGUCCGGCCUGACAGCAAACAACACCUAAGUGGGCAAAAGUUCACCCUUCGCUGCUCAGUAAAUACUGGUAAUUCAACAGGCUGGAUACUGAGGCGUCAAGGUGCUAAAGGUAGUUCUGGAUGUUUGCAGUUGAAUGGCACAGAAUCUACAGACAGGCCUGAAGAAUGUCAUUUCAUUGACAUUGACAGUAAGAACAGUGGACUUUACUGGUGUGAGAAUAUUGCUGAAAACAAGACAAGCAACUCUAUCAACAUCACCGUGGUCUAUGGUACAGUAAUUCUCCUGAUGAGCACACUUCAUCCAGUGAUGAAAGUUUUGUUACUUUUUGUCUUUAGAGAACUCCACUGAUGAUUCAGAUGAUGAAAAGCCAUAUACAGGAACUUUGAUCUGGGUGUCGGGGCUCUGCAUCACCUUGGUUCUUCUGGUGCUUCUUCCUGUGCUCUGGCUGCUGUUUCCAGGUUUUAGAGAGAAAUUGCAUGUCUGUCCAAAUGAGGCAUUUAGAAGGGAAAGGGUCCAACAGGAAAUGCCUAAAACCAAGCAGGACGUGACUGAAAUCCAGUGGGAUCUUCCCUGGAUGGAGAUGGAAAAUUUGUUGGACAAGCAACAAAAUCCUGGCCGAUAAACAUUCCUCACUUCAAAUGUGGAUGUUAUCAGAUACAAAUAGUCACUGUGCUUUAUAAAGUGAGUCAUGGGCAAAAUGACAGAUGAAUAAAGAGGCCGAUACCCGAUACUGAUAUAUGGAAUUGUUUUCAGUUGAAUAAUUGUUAUCGGCUUUAGAUAUGGGGUUAGAGGUAUUUAAGGAAUAAUUACUUACAUCAGCUGUUUGUUUAUUUAUUAUCUGUUUAUUUGCAAAAUGAAUAUUGAUUUAAAUUUUUGAGUGGUUUAACAUAUAAAACCUGCAAAGGAUGGCAGGUAAGCUGAUGAUGAACAUAUUUUGUAGAUAUAGGAUUAUUUUAAAGUGCAGUGUUGACAUAGAACACAUUUAUUUAAAUAAAUAAAUAAUGAAUAACUGAGAAGAAUCAUGCAUCAAAAAUUUACUGAAAAUGCUAAUGUAGUUUAUGUUGACAUUGUGACAUUUGAUAAACUGUUUAAUGCCAUAAAAAGUCAAUUUCUGUAUACUAAAAGUAUUCUUUUAUGAUUUACAUUUUAAAAGGACAUUUUAGUAGACAUGCUGUAAAGUAAACAAAACACUUUCAAGAAUGUAAGCAUUUCUAAACAUAUUGUUAAUUUAAAUAAGUACAUUUUAAAAAUGCACUAGUAGGCCUAUAUGUACGAUUAAAAAAUAUGCUAACAAAAAACUUAUUUAUCUUGUGAAUUAUCAUGUA